rnacentral:antisense_RNA from 1 species
AUAUUGCUUUUUGUCCGGAUGGCCUGGCAA